UACGUAGGGUGCAAGCGUUAAUCGGAAUUACUGGGCGUAAAGCGUGCGCAGGCGGUGAUGUAAGUUUGUCGUGAAAGCCCCGGGCUCAACCUGGGAAUGGCGAUGAAGACUGCAAGGCUUGAAUCUGGCAGAGGGGGGUAGAAUUCCACGUGUAGCAGUGAAAUGCGUAGAGAUGUGGAGGAACACCGAUGGCGAAGGCAGCCCCCUGGGUCAAGAUUGACGCUCAUGCACGAAAGCGUGGGGAGCAAACAGG
rnacentral:rRNA from 1 species